rnacentral:rRNA from 1 species
CCUACGGGCGGCAGCAGUGAGGAAUAUUGGUCAAUGGGCGCGAGCCUGAACCAGCCAAGUAGCGUGAAGGAUGACUGCCCUACGGGUUGUAAACUUCUUUUAUAAAGGAAUAAAGUGAGGCACGUGUGCCUUUUUGUAUGUACUUUAUGAAUAAGGAUCGGCUAACUCCGUGCCAGCAGCCGCGGUAAUACGGAGGAUCCGAGCGUUAUCCGGAUUUAUUGGGUUUAAAGGGAGCGUAGAUGGGUUGUUAAGUCAGUUGUGAAAGUUUGCGGCUCAACCGUAAAAUUGCAAUUGAUACUGGCAGCCUUGAGUACAGUUGAGGUAGGCGGAAUUCGUGGUGUAGCGGUGAAAUGCUUAGAUAUCACGAAGAACUCCGAUUGCGAAGGCAUCUCAUGAAUCCGCGAUUGACGCUGAUGCACGAAAGCGUGGGUAUCAAACAGGAUUAGAUACCCGAGUAGUC